AUUUUUCACUUUCUAUGUUCACAGUUUCGCAACAAAAAAAAGAAAGAGAUUUCUUGUCGAAUCUUUGCCCGGUGAAAGUGCAAAAUCUGAUGUUAAUCUAACAAAAAAUCACACUAGACAAAUCCAUUCCACCAACAAAACAAGGAGGUUACUUUUGUUUUAUUUUGAGAGCUUUGUCGGACAACUUCGUGGAAGCAACUUGAAAGUUACAAUAAUAACAAGGAUGAAAUAUAUCAGGUAUGCCAUCUUAAAGCUUCUUCAUAUUUGAAGAUUUUCUCCGUAAUGUUUUUGUCCUGUUAUGAAUUAUUUUUUCCUGUAUUGACUGGUUGGUUUGGAAGCAUAAUAUUGUCACUUGAAACAGAAUAAGUGAUUAGUUUCAUAGUUUGACAAGAGCGAUCAUUUGCUCUUUAUGAGCAUAAUAUUGUUGCUUUUAUUUGUUUUGAUGAAAAUUUUAUAUUAUUUUUGUGUUUAGAUGGCUCAGACAGCCUGUGACAACUUUAAGACGCUUAUUUUUUAGUUUACCUCAUAUGUCUGCAACUGAUAUGGCUAUGCCAAUUAUCUUUGGCCCCGAGUGUUCACAUGCUCUAACUACUUAGUCGAGAAGUUUGCGAGAUAAGACUUUGAAAAAUAGAAAGAGGCGUGUUCUCGUUGUUGACACCGGUGGGAGUGUUCCAAUCUCACAAGUGACAGGUUAUGAUUUCUCUUGCUUUUGUUUUAAAUUUCUUUAGAGCUUUUAAUAAUUUAGCAUAUAUUUGAAAAACUGAUUUCUUUUAUAUUAACAAUCGUUUUGUUUUCAUUUGCUCGGCUCUUCUUCUGAAAAUGGUUUAAGUUUUCCUUAGCCCAACAAAUGUGAUCCCUAAUUCCAUAUUGUCAAAAGGCUGCUUGCGCCGGUUGGGUUCCGAUGUGACGCAACUGCCUUUGUCUAAUAAUGUUAGUGUUUCACGGUCUAAACGUUUAUGUAAAGCUUGUUGUGGACAGAGGCACUUAAAAGGGCCACACUCUUGAUGCUGUGAUAUUCCAUGAUAAUUAGGUUCAAACAUGUGCUUCAAGAGGGUAAUGUUUACAUGGUGAAAGGAGCCUAUAUUUUUGAUCCAAAGCAAUACAAGAAUCCAAUUGUGACAUGUAAUGUAAUUACCAAUAGACAUUCAGAAAAGAUACUUUGGUGAAUGAAGAACCAAAUGAUUCGAUACCUGCUGGUGGACUAAGUUUCAGAACAACUCCAAGUUGAGAGUUCCACAAAUUCCUCUCAACAAAGACAUUGAUGAGUUAAGCUAAGCAACUUAAUCAUUGAAGAAUUGCGAAUGAUAUUUCUAUAUUUAUUUUAGCAAUAUUUUGUGUAAGUUUAGGAAAAGAAUUAUUGUACUUAUUAUAUUUUAGAAUGAGAUUAUUUUAGUGUGACUUAAAUGUUAAUUAAUCAUUUUCUUCUCUUACUUAGAUACUGCUUAUGUCAUUAUUGGUACCCAUGAACCUCGGGAAAUCACAGUUAAAGGACAGGGUAAAGUCAUUUGAAGCAAGAGAAUGAAGAGGCCAUUAACAUGUUAGUAUAAACCGGUGGUUUUUUUGAAAAGAAAUUGUUGCGCUCACCCAAGCAACCUUUGCAGAUUACUAAAGUGGAACAAAUGUUGCACAAGAAAGAGAUGAUGUUGAUACACAUGAGAAUUUUGAUGAUGCACAUUUGGAUAUGCCUCUACCAGAUAAAUUUGUGGAGAGAGCAACUGAUUGCAAACUUGUUGAAGAUUCUCAUAUGGAGUCGCAUCUACCUUUGGCAGGCAAAAGAGUCCCACAAACACCAACACUCAAGUCAAGGAGUGGCUGAACAAUCAAGCGAAGAACAUUGGGCUAAUGAAGUGAAAGAUUUUAUGAGACUUUCAAGCAACUUGUGUAUGUACUUUGUACAAUUCUCUAGCUAUGACUUUUGGCUCUAUUAUACCGUGUUGGUGAUAUUCUACUAGAAUUUUGAGGUUACCUUUUGCAUGUACAUUGUAUAUGCCUCGAUGCGGUUUUUGGUUUAAUGCGAUAUGUUUAUAUAA